AACGUAGGAGGCAAGCGUUAUCCGGAUUUACUGGGCGUAAAGCGCGUGCAGGCGGUUUGGUAAGUUGGAUGUGAAAGCUCCCGGCUCAACUGGGAGAGGUCGUUCAAAACUACCAGACUUGAGGGCGGUAGAGGGAAGUGGAAUUCCGUGUGUAGUGGUGAAAUGCGUAGAUAUACGGAGGAACACCAGUGGCGAAAGCGGCUUCCUGGACCGAUCCUGACGCUCAGACGCGAAAGCUAGGGGAGCAAACGGGAUUAGAAACCCUUGUAGUCC
rnacentral:rRNA from 1 species